CGCCAAGUCUAGGUCCAAGAGGCUUCUGAACAGCUUCUACUCUCAAGCAAUAAGACUCCUGAACAUCUAAUCAAAUGGCCACCCAGACUAUUUGCAUUGCCCCCCCCUGCUCUUUUACAUUGCUGCUACUCUCUGUUGUUAUCAUCAAUGCAUAGUCACUUUAAUAACUCUACCUACAUGUACAUAUUACCUCAACUAACCGGAGCCCUCGCACAUUGACUCUGUACCUGUACCCCCCUGUAUAUAGUCUCGCUAAUGUUACUUUACUGCUGCUCUUUAAUUACUUGUUACUUUUAUUUCUUAUUCUUAUUCAUAUUUUAUUUAAACUACAUUGUUGGUUAGGGGCUCGUAAGUAAGCAUUUCACUGUAAGGUUGUAUUCGGCGCAUGUGACUAAUACAAUUAGAUUUGAUUUUGAUUUGAAAAACAUUUAUUUGAUUUCAUAUCCAUUUUCAUUUUAGUAAUUUAACAGACGCUCUUAUCCAGAGUUAGUGCAUUCAUCUUAAGGGAGGGAGGGGGAUAAGACUGACUGAGAUGUCUUGCAGUAUUUAAGAUAGUGGUACAGCACUCAUCUAGAAUUCCCCUACUCAGACUAUAGCAACAACAAAAACUUAUUGAAAGACACAAAUACUUGCAGAGAUGAGUUGUCUUCCCAGACUAUAAAUGAGCACAUGGUAGUUCUAAUAUGGUGUCCAUACACAUGACUGUCCUAAAAUGGACACCAUAUUCUCAUUAAUGUUUGUGACCUGUUAUAACAGAAAUUAUGUCAUGCUCAUGCCAGAUACUGCGAAUAACAAGGAUCAUUACCAAGUUUUGUUUCUAUGGCGUUUGCAUGAUGCCUGUGUAUUGACGAUACUAUGAAAAAAAUCUGCUCUGGUGGUCCCUUUCUCAACUGUCACCAAGUUUAACGUUGAGUGUUGGCUGGCCGUGAUGUGUCCUAGACAGCCAGGAUGUGUCCCCAAUGGCACUCUGUUCCCUACAUAGUGUACUACUAUGGGUCCUGGUCAAAAGUAGUGCACUACAUAGGAAAUAGGGUGUUAUUUUGGACGUAGCCCCAGUGUUUGGAGACAGCUCCUCCACCCUGGCAAACAGGAGCCUAGCAAUUACAUCGGAUCUCCAGGAGACAAACAAGGACUUAUCAAAGGCCUUCAGCACCAAACCAAAGCAGACUUUGAGUUAGUGCCUGUGUGUGUUUGUUUGUCUCUGUGUGGGUGCGUGAAUGCGCGCGUGUGUACGGUGGGGGGUAUAGAGAGAGAUAAAAACUAAACAAUCCACUAUAUAUUAGGUGCCACCUUAGCAGCCAAACACUCUGUAGUUACCCUCCAGUACCCUCCAGCAAAACACACUCUGUAGGUACCCUCCAGUACCCUCCAGCCAAACACACUGUACAGUAGGACCCUCCAGCCAAACACUCUGUAGGUUCCCUCCAGCCAAAGACAUUGUAGGUUCCCUCCAGCCAAACACAUUGUAGGUCCCUCCUGCCAAACACUCUGUAGGUUCCCUCCAGUGAAACACACUAUACAGUGUCUCCCUCCAGCCAAAUACACUGUAGGUACCAUCUUGCCACUGAAAAUGUUGUUUGUGAAAUGCUUAACCGGGACCCUGACCUAGACUAAAUGUAUUCAUAAAAAUGCCAGGCCCAAACUUGUCACGCUCGGGCUACAAAUCCAAACUGUACAGGAACGGACCACCACAUCAGGGAUGGAAAUUGGUAUAUGAGAAUUAUAUUUUGGUGCAUCAGAUGACCUGGCCUCCACAAUCAACCGACCUCAACCCAAUUGAGAUGGUUUGGGAUGAGUUGGACCACAGAGUGAAGGAAAAGCAGCCAACUGGUGCUCAGCAUAUGUGGGAACUCCUUCAAGACUGUUGGGAAAGCAUUCCAGGUGAAGCUGGUUGAGAGAAUGACAUAGUGUGCAAAGCUGUCAUCAAGGCA
rnacentral:lncRNA from 1 species